ACCGCCCGCCUCUGCUGCCGACUGGCAGACGGAGCGUAGGGCUGUCGGCGUCAUUUCCGGGAGUCAUCUGAGGGCAGGGAACCCUACGGUGAUAACUGAAGGGGGUUUCAUUUUGACUUAUUUUUGUAAAAAGGGGAUUGGUCGGGGAGUGUGUCGUGAGAACAUACACCUGCUCCCACACCCCCCGCCCCAAAAUCCUUUCCUUUAAUCGUGUUUGCGCCAAAGCCCCGUGCCAGACUUUCCCUGUCGCUGAGUCUCAAAUGCAAAACUACUGAAGGCUUCAAAAGGGUUUUGCUCUUACAAGAAAGGAAACAAUAGGAAAACGGCAGCAUUCACUAGAGAGAGAGAGAUAAAUAAGACCUCCUUCUGAGAUGUUCUGAAGGGAAGAAGAAAAAGAAGUGAGAAUAAUUAAGAUCUACUCUGAGCAACUCUGAUAUAUAUAACAUAGUAUUGUUGACUAUAGUCACCAUGCAGAGCCAAAGUCUGGAUCCUCUACCAUCUCUCGUCCUCCUAGGUAACUGACUAGAGUCUGUAUCUUAACAAGCAUUUCUCCUUAACAACUCAACAUCAAAAAGCAAGGAAUGUCUCCAAAGGAAUAUAG